AUUGCUCCUAGCCUUGUGGCCAAGGUCAAGUAUAGCAUCUGUUCUUGUCACCUCAGUACCUGGUACAUCCUCUAUCUGAGGACAAUAUGUUAAAUGGGGUCUUAGAACAGAGUUGGGAUGGGAGCUUUCUCUAUCCACUCGGUGCGUCAACCUGGCAUUGCAGUACUUUCAGGAGCAAGAGCGAGAGAG
ensembl:snRNA U2 U2 spliceosomal RNA